GAUGAACGCUGGCGGCGUGCCUAAUACAUGCAAGUCGAGCGAACGGACGAGAAGCUUGCUUCUCUGAUGUUAGCGGCGGACGGGUGAGUAACACGUGGAUAACCUACCUAUAAGACUGGGAUAACUUCGGGAAACCGGAGCUAAUACCGGAUAAUAUUUUGAACCGCAUGGUUCAAAAGUAAAAGACGGUCUUGCUGUCACUUAUAGAUGGAUCCGCGCUGCAUUAGCUAGUUGGUAAGGUAACGGCUUACCAAGGCAACGAUGCAUAGCCGACCUGAGAGGAUGAUCGGCCACACUGGAACUGAGACACGGUCCAGACUCCUACGGGAGGCAGCAGUAGGGAAUCUUCCGCAAUGGGCGAAAGCCUGACGGAGCAACGCCGCGUGAGUGAUGAAGGUCUUCGGAUCGUAAAACUCUGUUAUUAGGGAAGAACAGAUGUGUAAGUAACUGUGCACAUCUUGACGGUACCUAAUCAGAAAGCCACGGCUAACUACGUG
rnacentral:rRNA from 1 species